UACGGAGGAUCCAAGCGUUAUCCGGAAUCAUUGGGUUUAAAGGGUCCGUAGGCGGUCAGGUAAGUCAGUGGUGAAAGCCCAUCGCUCAACGGUGGAACGGCCAUUGAUACUGCUUGACUUGAAUUAUUAGGAAGUAACUAGAAUAUGUAGUGUAGCGGUGAAAUGCUUAGAGAUUACAUGGAAUACCAAUUGCGAAGGCAGGUUACUACUAAUGGAUUGACGCUGAUGGACGAAAGCCAGGGGAGCAAACGGG
rnacentral:rRNA from 1 species